rnacentral:lncRNA from 1 species
GUGUUAUGAUUGCCAAUAAGACAACUUUCCACAAGAGACCAAAUGACACAGAAACUAAUAACUAUUAGUCACCGUGCGGCCUUCAACAAUGAGCAAAGCAAAUACUGCAUAUUCAGCUAUAAAAGGCCCCGAUAUGACAAAUAUUAAACAAUUCAAAUGAGAUAACUAACGGCCUAAUUAAUGUACAAAAAAUAAAUAGAAAACAAAUAUGUUACACAUAAAAAAAAAGAAAACAACUGAAUUACAGCCUUGGGACAACACAUACAUACAUAAUGUGGCGGGUUUAACAUGUUAGCGAUAUUCAUGCCCUCGCAUAACCUGGGACAGUGUAAAAUAGUACAAAAA